rnacentral:rRNA from 1 species
GGAAGGGGUGUAUUUAUUAGAUAAAAAACCAAUGCCCUUCGGGGCUCCUUGGUGAUUCAUAAUAACUUAACGAAUCGCAUGGCCUUGCGCCGGCGAUGGUUCAUUCAAAUUUCUGCCCUAUCAACUUUCGAUGGUAGGAUAGUGGCCUACCAUGGUGGCAACGGGUAACGGGGAAUUAGGGUUCGAUUCCGGAGAGGGAGCCUGAGAAACGGCUACCACAUCCAAGGAAGGCAGCAGGCGCGCAAAUUACCCAAUCCCGACACGGGGAGGUAGUGACAAUAAAUACUGAUACGGGGCUCUUUUGGGUCUCGUAAUUGGAAUGAGUACAAUCUAAAUCCCUUAACGAGGAACAAUUGGAGGGCAAGUCUGGUGCCAGCAGCCGCGGUAAUUCCAGCUCCAAUAGCGUAUAUUAAAGUUGUUGCAGUUAAAAAGCUCGUAGUUGAACCUUGGGUCUGGCUGGCCGGUCCGCCCCACCGCGAGUACUGGUCCGGCUGGACCUUUCCUUCUGGGGAACCUCAUGGCCUUCACUGGCUGUGGGGGGAACCAGGACUUUUACUGUGAAAAAAUUAGAGUGUUCAAAGCAGGCCUUUGCUCGAAUACAUUAGCAUGGAAUAAUAGAAUAGGACGUGCGGUUCUAUUUUGUUGGUUUCUAGGACCGCCGUAAUGAUUAAUAGGGAUAGUCGGGGGCGUCAGUAUUCAGCUGUCAGAGGUGAAAUUCUUGGAUUUGCUGAAGACUAACUACUGCGAAAGCAUUCGCCAAGGAUGUUUUCAUUAAUCAGGGAACGAAAGUUAGGGGAUCGAAGACGAUCAGAUACCGUCGUAGUCUUAACCAUAAACUAUGCCGACUAGGGAUCGGGCGGUGUUUCUAUGAUGACCCGCUCGGCACCUUACGAGAAAUCAAAGUUUUUGGGUUCUGGGGGGAGUAUGGUCGCAAGGCUGAAACUUAAAGAAAU